GGCUUAACCCAGCUGGACCGAAGCCUGGAACACGGAAUAGGCUCUGUGGGGUCCUUCCAGACUAGGGGGUGCACUGGGCAGAGAAGACCCUGGACCACAUGCCUCCCACACCACAACCUUCAGCCUCUCCCUAUUUGAUUCUUGUUCUCCUGCCUCAGAUUAGAUUUUAGAUCCCUGAGCCACUAUGCAAGGAGACUGACUAUCCUGCUGGAGGGGCCACAUCGAGAAGCCCAUGGACUACAUGGAAAAGAGGGGUUCUAGGAAGGAUGGCCUUCCAGCAACCCCUGCCC